CCUACGGGUGGCUGCAGUGGGGAAUAUUGCACAAUGGGCGCAAGCCUGAUGCAGCCAUGCCGCGUGUGUGAAGAAGGCCUUCGGGUUGUAAAGCACUUUCAGCGGGGAGGAAGGCGGUGAGGUUAAUAACCUUAUCGAUUGACGUUAUCCGCAGAAGAAGCACCGGCUAACUCCGUGCCAGCAGCCGCGGUAAUACGGAGGGUGCAAGCGUUAAUCGGAAUUACUGGGCGUAAAGCGCACGCAGGCGGUCUGUCAAGUCGGAUGUGAAAUCCCCGGGCUCAACCUGGGAACUGCAUUCGAAACUGGCAGGCUAGAGUCUUGUAGAGGGGGGUAGAAUUCCAGGUGUAGCGGUGAAAUGCGUAGAGAUCUGGAGGAAUACCGGUGGCGAAGGCGGCCCCCUGGACAAAGACUGACGCUCAGGUGCGAAAGCGUGGGGAGCAAACAGGAUUAGAUACCCGUGUAGUC
rnacentral:rRNA from 1 species